rnacentral:sRNA from 1 species
GGUGGCAUUGCUCCAGGAUCUUCCUCCAUCCCGUGGCUGUCUUCCCUCUGUGUGUGUCUCCACAUGGCAUUCUCUCUGUAUCUCUGUGUCCCUGUGCUUAUAAGGACAUCAGUAAUUUUGGAUUAGGCGCCAUUUUCCUGACCUCAUCUUACUACAACUGCAAAGACCCUCUUUCCAGAUAGAGUCACCUUCACAGGUGCUGGGGACUGGAACCUCAGCUUAGCUUUCUGGUUUUGUUUUUUGAGACAGAGUUUCACUUUUGUCAGCCAGGCUGGAGUGCAGUGGUGCAAUCUCGGCUCACAGCAACUUCCGUCUCCUGGGUUCAAGCGAUUCUCCUGCCUCAGCCUCCCAAGUAGCUGGGAUUACAGGCAUGUGCCACUAUGCCCAGCUAAUUUCUGUAUUUUUUAGUAGAGAGGGUUUCACCAUGUUGGCCAGGUUGGUCUCGAACUUCUGAUCUCAAGUGAUCUGCCUGCCUCGGCCUCCCAAAGUGCUAGGAUUACCGGUGUGAGCCACCGUGCCCAGCCUCAGCAUAGCUUUCUGGGAGACAUAGUUCACACCUUGUAACUCGGGGAAGGAGCAGAUCAGUUACUUCCAUGCAGCAGGCACUCCUGCAGGAAAGAGAACCUUAGAGGGACCACCUCACGGGACCCUCAGAGCCUUGUGAAGAAGGCAUUCCUGAGAGUUAGGAGGACUUCCGGCUGCAAAUCACGCAGUUUCCCAAACAAAUAGAUAAUUGGGGGCACUCGGAAAAAAUUUUCUCUUAUGAUUCUGUGGGUCACCUGGGCUCAGUGGGCCAUCUCGCUUGGGGACUCUCAUGGGGUUGCCAUCAGAUGGCAGCUGAGACUCUGGUCAUCUGAAAGCUUUACUGGGCUGGAUGUUCAGAAGAGCUCCUCACACAGCCCUGGCUGUUGGCUGGGGCUUGGCUAGGACCGGCCAUCCCGGUGUCUGCACAUGGCCUGUCCACGUGGCCACACUGUGGCAGCUGGGUUCUGAGAGGGCAGGCGUUGUAGGAGCAGGCAUUUAUAUUUUGCACAGGACAGGACAUCUAGAGGGGGCCAGCUAUUGGGGUUGGUUUCAUAGGUCUGUGCCACCAGGGACAGGGCCGUGUGGUUCUCUUGGCCUCUCCUUUAUAGUCACAAGGUAGCUCUCAUGGCUCCAGGCAUCCUGUGUGCUUUCAGGAAGGAGGGGAAGGGGGCUGUGUGUUUCCCUUUCUUCAGGACAGCAGAAACUUUCUCAGAUUCCAGAGCAGGCAUUCCUUUCACCUCCUAGCCCGGACCUAGGCCACUGGGCAGCCCCUAGUUGAUGGGAGGCUGCUGGGAGCAGGUAUGCGUGACUGUCUGGGGCUAGGACAUGUUACAGCCCCAGACAGCAUCGGGAAUGCAGGGGAGGAGGACACUUGGAUAUGGAAUAGGCAGCUAGCAGGGUCUGUCUCAGGCAGGAAACCGAGGCUCAGAGAAGUCAACUCACUUGGCCAAGGUCAGCCUCGCCUCCCUCAGGAGCCCCUGCCCUGAAUGCUCCAUGUGUUACCCUCCUGAUGACCAGUGAUGUUUACUGGGUGCUUCCUGUGGGCUGAGCCUCAGGCAGGGCUCUUGCUGUGGAUCAGACAUCCCAUAGUCACAGCGACCCUGUGAUGUGGGAGCACUCCGCAUAGUGUGCACUGGCCGAUGCUGAGGACCGGAGGAUCUCUUGGAUACCCGGGGUCCGACACCACCGUUGAUCACAGGCCUGUGGGUACCACGCUGUGCAUCUAAGCCCAUCUCUCAUGGCUGUGACCGUCAGCAGCCCUUUGAGGAGGCAGCCGUGGCAUUUUAUGCCCCAGGAAACUGGGCCCAUGAGGAGCAGGUGGUGGCUGAAGGUUGAAGAGCUGGGCUCCAGCGCUUUCUCUCUGCUUUCCCUCUCAGUGGGCAGCCGGAACCCUAGCUUGCCCUGAGCGCCUCAGUUUCUGUCUCCGGAGCAACCCACAGCACACCUGUUCUCCUCAACCUUCUAUAGCAGAAACCUCACCUCCCCUUGCCUGUGGGGCCUCUAGAACCUUCUGGAAUGGGGACGGGGUCAGGGCUGCCUCUUUCAGGGCAUGAAUGGUUCUGAAGAGCUGUUGUCCACCCAGGCGGGCUGCGUGCACUUCCCCCACACGGCGCCCUGUGAGGUGCGUGUGCUCAUGCUCCUGUACUCGUCCAAGAAGAAGAUCUUCAUGGGCCUCAUCCCCUACGACCAGAGCGGCUUCGUCAACGGCAUCCGGCAGGUCAUCACCAACCACAAGCAGGUCCAGCAGCAGAAGCUGGAGCAGCAGCAGCGAGGAAUGGGACAGCAGGCACCCCCAGGGCUGGGGCCCAUUCUGGAGGACCAAGCAAGGCCCUCACAGAAUCUGCUCCAGCUCCGCCCACCGCAGCCCCAGCCUCAGGGUACCGUAGGGGCCUCUGGGGCCACGGGGCAGUCCCAGCCCCAAGGUACUGCCCAGCCCCCCCCAGGUGCCCCCCAAGGCCCUCCUGGAGCAGCUUCUGGCCCACCCCCUCCUGGACCCAUCCUUCGGCCCCAGAACCCUGGGGCCAACCCCCAGCUGCGAAGCCUCCUCCUCAACCCACCACCGCCGCAGACUGGGGUGCCCCCACCCCAGGCCUCCCUCCACCACCUCCAGCCACCAGGGGCUCCUGCGCUGCUGCCCCCGCCGCACCAGGGCUUGGGGCAGCCCCAGUUGGGGCCCCCACUCCUGCAUCCACCACCUGCCCAGUCCUGGCCCGCACAACUUCCCCCACGGGCUCCACUGCCAGGUAAGGGGACCCGGGGGAGGGCAGAGGUCUGGAUUGAGUGUCUCAGCAGCCCCUGGGCUAGAGCACCGAGACCGAGUGCUGGGAAGUAAAGACAUAGGAUCCAAGAAUGAGGGUUCCCCCAUGGCCUUUGCGGAGCUCUGAGGGCUCCGGGAAAGUACAGCCCAUGGGUCCAAGGACCUAGUGAGUUAAGAGCGUUUCCCAUUAUCCUCCUGUGUGUGCUCCUGGGAUUGCUGGGAAAUGUGGUCUUAGGGCCAGAGAAGUAGUUUUGGAGAAGGGCUCCCAAAGGCUCAUGGGAAACAGCAUAUUUGUAAUUAGAUGGGGCCAGAAGGUGCUUCUGUUGGGCCCCCCAAGGGCUGCCUAGAAAACUUAGUGCCUCUGGGCCCUCCUGGGCCCAAGGGCCUACUGGGAGAUGCAGUCCCUUCCCCACUGCCCCUCAGGUCAGAUGCUGCUGAGUGGGGGUCCCCGGGGCCCGGUCCCCCAGCCGGGCCUGCAGCCCAGCGUCAUGGAGGACGACAUCCUCAUGGAUCUCAUCUGAAUCCCCAACACCCAAUAAAGUUCCUUUUUAACACA